UUUUCGGUCUGUUGAACUAUUUAAAAUUCUUACUAAUUUUAUAUGUAGCAAUUCAUACGGUUAUUGACUUAUUAGCAAUUCUUAAUAAUUUUUAUUAUUUAUUUGCUUGAUUUAACCUUGGUGGCUUUGUAGGUGCUUGUGUUAAUGUUGUUGUUGUUGAUGUUGUUUCUGUAACUCGCGCAAUUUUUUCCCUACAAACAAAAUCACAAUAGUGAGUUUGUUGUCAAAUGUCAGAGAAUGUAGUCUACACAGACCGGGGCAAAACAUGGAAACAUGGUUGAAGAUUUGGAUUAGGUAAAGAGAUAGAGCUGGAAUCCUAAAAUGUAACAUUGAUGCCUCUGUAGGAAUGUGGAUGUAGUGCUGGAAAUGUGUUUUUUACUUGUAAGAAAAUUUGACAUUGAGUGAAGGAAUAAAGCUGGAAUCCUGAAAUUUAA